rnacentral:rRNA from 1 species
CCUACGGGCGGCAGCAGUGAGGAAUAUUGGUCAAUGGACGCGAGUCUGAACCAGCCAAGCCGCGUGCAGGAAGACGGCUCUAUGAGUUGUAAACUGCUUUUGUACGAGAGUAAACGCAGAUACGCGUAUCUGUCUGAAAGUAUCGUACGAAUAAGGAUCGGCUAACUCCGUGCCAGCAGCCGCGGUAAUACGGAGGAUUCAAGCGUUAUCCGGAUUUAUUGGGUUUAAAGGGUGCGUAGUCGGGCGGAUAAGUUAGAGGUGAAAUCCCGAGGCUCAACUUCGGAAUUGCCUCUGAUACUGUCCGGCUAGAGAGUAGUUGCGGUAGGCGGAAUGUAUGGUGUAGCGGUGAAAUGCUUAGAGAUCAUACAGAACACCGAUUGCGAAGGCAGCUUACCAAGCUACUUCUGACGUUGAGGCACGAAAGCGUGGGGAGCAAACAGGAUUAGAUACCCUGGUAGUC